AAACAGCAGAUGCAACAGGACUUCGGGAGUGACCCAGGCCAAAACAACAAACAAAAAGAACUAAAGAACAUGUCCCAAAACUAAUCUAAACCUAAGUGUAACAAAAGGGGAAAUUAAACAACAAAACUAAACCUAUCUCCCUAACCAAACGUAAAAUAAAUCACCACGUCUCGCAAAACAAAAAGGCAGUCACUCCUUACGCACCACAGUACAAACACACAGUAAACACACAAUCCAAAGCGACAGUGUCCGAGGGGGCGAGCAAAAGAAUAGUCAACAAACAGGUGGGAGAGAAAAAUCAAAACGAGAUAAUCAAAGCCGAGGCGAAGGUACAGAGAAAGGGCGAGGUGAAAAUCAGAAACCAAUAACCAAAACUAUCAUACACGAAUCCAAAACCAAUAAAGCAAACGACAAUAAUCAAAAAAAUCAAUUAGCAGAGCUGCAGGGGCUGGUGACCAGCAGCCUUUUCUCCCCAGGAACCGGACGUCAGGAACAGCACAGAGGAUGGAAAAGGCGUGGCCAGAAUCCGGAAGGUGGGGCUGAAGAGUCAGCUGGCGAGUGGAGAUUGGAGGCAGAAACCAGAUGACCUGCAGAUACAAUCCCAGACCUCUUACAGGAUACUAAACUACAUAUUCAGACAGAAAAGGCCUGAUCUUCCUGUUGUUACACUGGGCAAAUCUGCAAGAUCAGAAGAGCACUGGUAUGUGCUCAGCAAAGGACAGCUAGCCAUCCAACAUUACCCCCAGGAUCCUUGUAGAUCUCGAAGGAAACUGUGUGGAUAACCCAAGCUGAACAGUCCUGAUAAAUGGUAGGGCAGGAAAGAAAGAUCAGAAGCUUAGUCUUGCAGAGAUCUAGCUGGAGGUGAUGGUCCCUCAUCCAGGCUGCAAUAUCAGCCAGGCAUGCAGAGAUCCGAGUGGAGACCAUAGUGUUCUCGGGAGUGAAGAUCAAAUGGACCUGGGUGUCACUGGUAUAACAGUGGUAGGAGAAGGCAUUGCAAUGGAUAAUCUGACUUAGAGAGAGACGUGGCUGAAUCUCAGCAUACCAGAUACUGCAGUUGAGCUAGCAGGACGCACACUACAUCAUGCCGACAGCAUACCCGAUUCCGGCAGAAGAUAUUCGAGGACAGUCAGAGAUGCAGAACAGCAAAGCAAAUAGAUGAUAUGUUAUUGUCAAAGUAGUGAGUCCUCUGGCUCUGCUGUAAGGGAAAAUGCAGCAAACACAGACUUUCAUUGCUGUUAUGGAUGAACCCAAGUUUAUGCAGUAACCCAUAAUUAAUAGACAUAAUGACACAAGGAUAUAACCUUGUCAUGUACUUGCUAAUCUUUUUAGGAUCAUCUUAGUCUCUGCAGUUGCCUGUAGUCAGACCCAAUAUCAGAUUCUCUGAACAAUGAGGUCAGUGGCAUUAAAGUCCCCCAUCACACAGACAGCCCCACAAGAGCUCUUAAUUGUAAUUAUGUCAUCGUGAGGAGCUCAAGCAUUUAAUGGCUCCAUGCAAAGUGUGACCUCCUGCAAUUUCAUCAAGGUAUUGACCCCCAGCUGUUUUUCUCCUUCUUUAUAGCAGGGUAAAACAGACACGAAGAUAUGGGUGCUGCAACGAUACUGCAAUUUUCCAGUUUACUGGGCCAUUUAGUGUCCAAUGUGGCCAAAAUGGAGUCAUGGUGAACAUACAAAUACAAAACAAGUGUGACCUAACUACACAUAUAUUAGGACUGCUAGCUUGCAAGUAACUUUAUUACAGAAGAGUAAUAUAUAGUCUGUAUAUUUAAAUGUCUCUUUUUCAACACUUCAAUCUAUAUGUAUUUAUCUAUCUGGUGUUGAUGUCUAGCCGGUGAUGCUGUGAUAUGGAAAACGAGUGAUAAGUGAUACAGAGGAUUAAUUAUUGGAUGGAUGGAUGGAUGGAGGGAUAGAUAUUAGUGUCUGUAGCAACCUGCUUAGCAAAAUAUCUAUCUAUCUAUUCAUCUAUCUGGCUGUUAGGCAGUGAGUGGCUCAGUGAAUUAUGUCUUUGUGCCCGUGGUCAGAAGGUUGCUGGUUUGAGCCCUGGCCUCAGCACACAUGUCACAUAUCAGUGGGCCCUUGAGUGAGGUUGUUAACCAGUAGCACCUGGGGUGCUGUGACCCCCCCCCCCCCCUAAAAGCUAUGAAGAGCAUAAUGAGCUGGAGGCAAAGAGAAUAAUUCCAAGGUACCUCUCCUCAUACUGAAUGAUUUAUCAUCUAUCUUCUUAUCCAGAACAGGGUCCCAAAUGGGAGAUUCCAAGUAGCAUUGAACUAUAAUACAAGAAAACACAAGAUGGCAAAAAACAAAAGCAGUAUAAUUAUUACAUAUUUCAUGUCAUGUUGCCCUACAUGGACAUCCUACAAAGAUUAGUGCAAGGUCAUGCUGCAGAAUCUGCAAAAAAACCUAAAAAGACAGCUAAUGAUCUUCAGGCAUCUCCUACACUAUCAUCAUGUGUUCAGUCCCAAGAGAUUCUACAAGAAGAUCUUAAGGCGUCAUCAAAAAAAGAGUAGCUAGCACCAAAAAUAUUGCAAGUACAGGAAAUUAAAUAGUUUUGUAUCAAAGACUAGGCCAAAAUAUCUCCUGAUCAAGUCAGAACUGCAUCUACAGAAAGUGGUUGGUACAUGUUACUGCCUUAAAGGAGGUUCCAUUAAUUACUAAAUGUAAGGAAUCACUUACGAUUUCCAUCAAUUACUUUGACUCUUCAAAUAAAUUUUUCUACAUACUGUGUGUGUUUUUUGUUAGACGAGAUGAACAAAUUAUUUAUUACUGUGACUCAGAUGAAGACAAGAUCAUUAUUUA